ensembl:rRNA 5S_rRNA 5S ribosomal RNA
AUCUACAGCCAUACUACCCUGAACACACCCAAUCUCAUCUGAUCUUAGAAUCUAAUCAAGGUCAGGUCUGGUUACUACUUGGAUGGGAUACUAUGUUUUAAUAUAUGAGUCUUGUAGGAA